rnacentral:rRNA from 1 species
UACGGAGGGUGCAAGCGUUAUCCGGAUUCACUGGGGUUAAAGGGUGCGUAGGAGGGCAGGUAAGUCAGUGGUGAAAUCUCCAAGCUUAACUUGGAAACUGCCGUUGAUACUAUCUGUCUUGAAUGUUGUGGAGGUGAGCGGAAUAUGUCAUGUAGCGGUGAAAUGCUUAGAUAUGACAUAGAACACCAAUUGCGAAGGCAGCUCACUACACAAUUAUUGACUCUGAGGCACGAAAGCGUGGGGAUCAAACAGG